rnacentral:misc_RNA from 1 species
CCGAGUUUUCAACUCCCAAACCCUUCUGUGAACAUACCUAUCGUUGCUUCGGCGGACUCGCCCCAGCGUCCGGCCGGCCUCGCGCCGGCCGCGGCCUGGAUCCAGGCGCCCGCCGGGGAACUCAAACUCUUCUGUAUUUCUUUAUCUAAUAUAUACUGUCUGAGUAAAAACUAAAAUGAAUCA